UGUUAAAAAUUUCAUUCAUUUUUACUGUUAAAAACUAAUUUGGCUGACAGAAUAACUAGACAAUUAUACGUGGCGUGCCACAUGUAUCUCAUUUUAGCAUACAUGGACCAAAUUUUAAUAGUAGAAAUGGAUUAAUUUUUUAAUA
rfam:Gossypium hirsutum cultivar TM-1 chromosome 19, whole genome shotgun sequence